UUGACACCCUUGGGCUAGCGUAUUUAUUUAGCAAGCUAAAAACACAGGGCCCAUCGUUAGUUAGCUAGCUGCUAGGAGGAUAUCAUGUCAUUGAACGAGUUUGUCAGUGACCGACUUUUUCCCCUGAUCGUUUUUCUGUGGCUACAGCUAGAGAUGCAGUUGUCAUUUGGUUAGCUAGCAAGAAAUGUGAAUUGCUUUGCUAGCUCGCUAUGCUAAACUUGAACGACUGUUAUCCACGGUUACUAUAUCUCUUAGUUGUGAUCAAAUGUAUUUGGCAUUGAUCAAAUGGGCGGGUAGGCAGGGAAGUUCCUAUUCAGUUUGCAAAACAUGGGUUGUGACAAGCAUGCAUUAGCAGGCCCUGUCAGGUUUUCGUCACAUUCAUGUUGUUGACAUGGAUACCAUUGAUAUCCAAUCUCAACAGGCAGUUCCUUUUCAGGACCAAAGAUGUUGGACGGCCAAAAGCAGAUGUGGCUGCUGACUUUGUCAAUGGUCGCGUCCCUGGAUGUCAAGUCGUCCCGUAUCCUUUGCAACUGACGUGAUGAAUACCGGCAUGUAGGA